rnacentral:rRNA from 1 species
GAUGAACGCUGGCGGAAUGUUUUACACAUGCAAGUCGAACGGCAGCACGGACUUCGGUCUGGUGGCGAGUGGCGAACGGGUGAGUAAUGUAUCGGAACGUGCCCAGUCGUGGGGGAUAACGUAGUGAAAAUCACGCUAAUACCGCAUACGAUCUAUGGAUGAAAGCGGGGGAUCGCAAGACCUCGCGCGAUUGGAGCGGCCGAUAUCAGAUUAGGUAGUUGGUGGGGUAAAGGCCCCCCAAGCCAACGAUCUGUAGCUGGUCUGAGAGGACGACCAGCCACACUGGAACUGAGACACGGUCCAGACUCCUACGGGAGGCAGCAGUGGGGAAUUUUGGACAAUGGGCGAAAGCCUGAUCCAGCCAUUCCGCGUGCAGGAUGAAGGCCCUCGGGUUGUAAACUGCUUUUGUACAGAACGAAAAGGUUUCUACUAAUACUAGGAGCUCAUGACGGUACUGUAAGAAUAAGCACCGGCUAACUACGUGCCAGCAGCCGCAGUAA